UCCAGCAAUAGAGGGAAAGUGGAGCUAUUCAUAGCCAAGCACAUCUCCAUUUCAGAAGGAUUGGAAGAUGAAACAGUUCCUGGUUUCCUUUCCUUUUCAGUGUUCUUCAAAGAACUUGGGAGACUGUGAUUUCCUGAGCUUCUAAAUUUGCAACAAAGAAAUCUACAGUGUGUUUAAAGGCUUUUUCUCCUGUUACCAGUGGUGGCAUGAAAACCCAGGCUGAAGCUCCUGUUUUACUUGACACAGGACCUAAGAUUUCUGGAAGUGAGUGGGAAAAACAAGAGGAAAAGUCUUUGGCUUUUUUAUCCAUGGGAAGAUGAUGGGAAGAAAGAUGACCUUGCCUUCAUCCUUCUCUCCCCCUCUUCACUUCCAACAAUUUUGCUAACACUGUCUGAUUAGUAUAAGACAAAAUACUGUCACAGCCAAGAGGCUGGAAAUGUAGUAUGUUACUUAGCUGAGUAAAAUAGGCUACUGCUCUGUCCUUCUUGGAAAAGAAAAAAAAACAAAAAAAAGAAAAAAAGAAAAAAGAAAAAAAAGAAAGGAAUCUUUAGGUUGACCAAGUCAAGAUGGGCAACAUGGAUAGAAAGCUUAAUGAAAAUUCUAUAAAUUUCAGAUGUCAAAUCUCUGUUCUCUUUCUCUUUUUACACAA